GGCAGCGUAGCUCAGGGGUUAGAGCAAUCGGCUCAUAAUCGAUAGGUCGUUGGUUCGAAUCCAACCGCUGCUACCA
rnacentral:tRNA from 1 species